GCUCCGUUAGCUCAGCAGGUCAGAGCGCCCGUCUGUCACGCGGGAGGUCGCCGGUUCGAACCCGGUGCGGGGCG
rnacentral:tRNA from 1 species